CAACCGGGAUUGCCUUAGUAACGGCGAGUGAAGCGGCAAAAGCUCAAAUUUGAAAUCUGGUACCUUCGGUGCCCGAGUUGUAAUUUGGAGAGGGCAACUUUGGGGCCGUUCCUUGUCUAUGUUCCUUGGAACAGGACGUCAUAGAGGGUGAGAAUCCCGUGUGGCGAGGAGUGCGGUUCUUUGUAAAGUGCCUUCGAAGAGUCGAGUUGUUUGGGAAUGCAGCUCUAAGUGGGUGGUAAAUUCCAUCUAAAGCUAAAUAUUGGCGAGAGACCGAUAGCGAACAAGUACAGUGAUGGAAAGAUGAAAAGAACUUUGAAAAGAGAGUGAAAAAGUACGUGAAAUUGUUGAAAGGGAAGGGCAUUUGAUCAGACAUGGUGUUUUGUGCCCUCUGCUCCUUGUGGGUAGGGGAAUCUCGCAUUUCACUGGGCCAGCAUCAGUUUUGGUGGCAGGAUAAAUCCAUAGGAAUGUAGCUUGCCUCGGUAAGUAUUAUAGCCUGUGGGAAUACUGCCAGCUGGGACUGAGGACUGCGACGUAAGUCAAGGAUGCUGGCAUAAUGGUUAUAUGC
rnacentral:rRNA from 1 species